ensembl:snRNA U6 U6 spliceosomal RNA
GUGCUUACUUCAGCAGCACAUAUACUGGAAAAAAAAAAAAGGAAUGAUACAGAGAAGAUUAGCAUGGCCCCUGUGCAAGGAUGGCAGGCAAAUUCAUGAAGCGUUCCAUUAAAAA